AGAGUUUGAUCCUGGCUCAGAUUGAACGCUGGCGGCAGGCCUAACACAUGCAAGUCGAGCGGCAGCGGGAAAGUAGCUUGCUACUUUUGCCGGCGAGCGGCGGACGGGUGAGUAAUGCCUGGGAAAUUGCCCAGUCGAGGGGGAUAGCAGUUGGAAACGACUGCUAAUACCGCAUACGCCCUACGGGGGAAAGCAGGGGACCUUCGGGCCUUGCGCGAUUGGAUAUGCCCAGGUGGGAUUAGCUAGUUGGUGGGGUCAUGGCUCACCAAGGCGACGAUCCCUAGCUGGUCUGAGAGGAUGAUCAGCCACACUGGAACUGAGACACGGUCCAGACUCCUACGGGAGGCAGCAGUGGGGAAUAUUGCACAAUGGGGGAAACCCUGAUGCAGCCAUGCCGCGUGUGUGAAGAAGGCCUUCGGGUUGUAAAGCACUUUCAGCGAGGAGGAAAGGGUAGCGGCUAAUAUCCGUUACCUGUGACGUUACUCGCAGAAGAAGCACCGGCUAACUCCGUGCCAGCAGCCGCGGUAAU
rnacentral:rRNA from 1 species